CGGCGCGCAGGCGCCCCAGGGGCGGGUUGAGCGGAGGUGAAGAUGGCGGCCAAGGGGAGCGCGGAAGAAAGAGGCAGCUGAAGGCGCGGCCCAGCCCGGCCCGAGCAGCGGAGGAAUGGGCGGCGAGGGAAGGCAGCAGGUCCCGGGGAGGACGGCGGGGGAGACACCAGUGGCGGCCGGUUCUUGAAUCCCUGCUAUGGUUGGAACAGAAGUUUGAGAUCUGCAUUCCAAACCCAUUCACUGCAGAAAAAAACCAUGUCAGAAAGAAGUUGCAUCAACCUGUCCUCUCCCUCUUUUUGUUGUAAGAAACCGUGCAAUUUGAAAAGGCCUGGAUUAGCAGCUGUUCUUGGCCACAGCUCUCUGCCUGAUCACCAUCGGUGAGAAAUGAUGAAGUGAUGCUAACCGCUAAUCUCUUCGCUGCACUGAGACCUACUGCCACCUCACGGUUCCACCCUUUCCCCUGAGUUACUGUUCAAACAAACCACCAGGCUGCUGCUUGAAGUUCCUCACUCUCUGUACCUGUGAGAUCCAGCACCAUGCUAGUUGCUAAGUUCCUUCUUGCAUAAAUGGAACUGCCCAGAUUCUCAUGUCAACAUGCAGUUUGAAGGAUGCAAGAGGCAGAUCAAAGCCCCCUGCCAUGCCGCAGUGUCUGAUGCUGAGGAAUGGCCUUCUCGGCUUGGAUUGAAUUGUUAUUGAGGGGGCACUAUGGAAUUUUAAUUCAAGUCAUUUCAUCAUCAUGCUAAUACUCAUUUAGAAAACCCACAGUUAUGUUCUUGCCUCGACAUGUGGCAAACCUAGUGUGCGUUCCGCGUCACAAGAUGCGGUGCCCAGCAGCUUGCUCGCCACAGUAUUGCUGCUCUGCAUCGCUAUUUACCAUAGCACAAUUGGCAACCAUAUUUUCUCGCAAUACGCAUCUGAAACAAGGUCUAUUUUAUAUUUAACUGCUGGCUCUUGCCCCGCCUGGUGCUCAAUUUACUGUGAUGACUUCACUUUCUUUUUGGGGAAACCCCAGCUCACAGACUUGCAGGCACCUGACUGCUGAUCCAGAUUGUGUCUAAGCAGCAUCAGGUGCAGGCAAGCCUAUGAAUUAAAAAAAAAAAAGAUGACCUGGUACCUAAUCUCUCUCCACCCAUUGAACUGUCCCAUUAUUAUUAGAUGUAAAUGUAAAAAUUAUAAGAUGUAAAAAUAAUCACUGCUAUCAUCAAUCCCUCCCACACCCCAGAAAACAAUCCACUAAAAAAUGCUGAAAGUACGCAUCAGGGCUGCCUGUAAGUUGUUGCCCAAAAUGCCAGCUGUGCCAUUUUGGGUACAGACUGUGUGUUUGCAGUGUUUUCUGCAGACUGCCCCUGAAUGGACAGCUGGUUGGGUGCCAAGGGUUACAUCUGUGUUGGAUGUCAGACCUCACCUUGUGUUCUGUGGAGUCCUGCAUCUCCAGCCCCCUCGGCACACCACGAUAGUCGUUCAUUCUGCAUAUCAGUUACAGCUGGAUCUGGGAAGGGUUAGCGCCGCAGUUGUAAAUGUGGCCUGGGUAAAGCUAUGAGUGUACAGGGAAGGAGGAACACCAACCAGACCAAGAUAUCUUAUGUGUUUUUGAAGAAUGCAUGAAGAUAUUUCUGAAUUCUUGAAGGAAAUCUGUGCCUUCCCUUUGAGUUCUCCCAUUUGCAGCAUCCAGAAUCAAGACAGUUGUGUGGGACAUGUUCAGUACCACGAGCUGUAGACUUCUGCUGACAGGCUGAGCAGUGUGGGAUACCUGCUAUGGCCAAUGUGCACCAUCAGUGUUUAACAUGGGCAGUGAUCCCCAUUGUAUGUCCAAACACCACAUCAAGCCCAUUACUCAAUGUAAAUCCCUGAUCCACAGCGGGUAAAAAUUACAUGUAAAACAUUUCUUGAUCACGUGCAAACAGGAUUUAAUUGCUCCAGAGUUUGAAGCCAGCUCUUUAUUUUGAGAGCUGGGCAUAGGCACAAACGUGGGUUGUCUGACUAGUCUGCUUCAUGCCAAUUUCAGCUUCUUUAGAUGAGCUUUCCUGGAACUGGUCCAUGUUGAUUUCAAGCCCUUUGAUAGCUAUAGUAGUCGUGUUGGGACUGGAGAGGACUUGGGCUGUUGUACAUAGCGCAGUGUUGGUAGAAUAGAGUGCUGUCCUUCCCCUGCCCCUAAUUUAUAGAUUUCAUACUUGCAUUUAUUUUUUAAUUUUUACUAUUCAAUUAGAUAAAAGUUCGGGCUGUGCAAUAUUAUAACGUGAAAAGAAGUAUCACGACAAGUUUUUUAAGAAAAAACAGAACAACAAAAUCACCAAUGUCUUCCAUUUGGAGAUGUAUAGUUCCACGCCACUUUAGUGCUUCAGUAGCAGCUGUAGUGCCAAACUUUAGAGGCAGUGCAUGAGGUUAGCAGAGCUUGCCGUGAGCAGUUUAACUGAAAAUAUUUUCUUUUAAUGGGGUGUAGCUUAAUGAACUAAUCAAGAUUCAGGUUUAAACAGCAGACUGGUUUGAGGGAUUUCAGGGUCGGUCUCAGACCCCGUGCUCCCAGCCUCUCCAUCUAUUCAACUUUGGCUUUGCAGUGAGCAUCGAUGCUUUAGAUGGCCCACUGCUUGCUUUGGGGAAGGCAUUGAUUCUUCAUUCAGAUCUAGUGUAGGGGUGUUGGUGGGAGUGUCUAACUGAGCAAGUGAACAUCCAGUCUCCCAUUCCAUGAACAAAGUGAUGAGUAUUGCAGAUGUUAACAAUUAGCUUCUGAAAAUGAGACCAAUAACUGAUCAAAAAUGGAUGCGUUAGAAAUCUAAAAAUCGCAUCCUCUUUCAGCUGGUGGCUUGUUUGCAUAGAGUGUGGGGUGGAGAGGGUUUGAUGAGGGAGGUUUAAGCAUCACAUUAUCUUUUAUCUACUCAUCGGGUUGCUCCGAGGCCCGUGAGAAGUAGAAUUCAUAUUACAAUGUGCAGCGGUAUUCACGCUGCAGUCCCAUUGUCGGUUCCGCGUAGUUCCCUUCCACCGAAACUGCAGCUUGGGGGAUUUGUGACAUGAUGCUGGCUUCAAUGAGACUCACCAGGGAAAGAAUUUUGCUUUGAAAUCAGCCUCGGUCUGAUUUGCAAAAGCAAGUUUGGUUUGGGGUGAAGCUGAAACCGGUGAUCGUGCCACAAAGCAGCAGCGUGCAAACACAAACAGUUGAUCGUCACAGUUUGCCUGUAACCCCUUGUGAUGAGGGUGGAGUUCAGUGCCAUUUAUUGAGCAUCAGGAGGCUUUGCUAGUUAUCAUUCGACCCUAUCUUGAAACAUCCUCCAUGCUAACUGAGACUAACUUCACAGGUCAGAUUAUAAUAUAACUGUCCCUAUUCAUUUUUUUUUAAGUAGUGCUUUGCAAAAUAAUUCUGCUUUGGAUAAGAUAUUUAAAUACCUCCUGGGUUUCAACCGCAGAUGGAACUCUUAGCACAAAUUAUAGUCACAUUAAAAUGCAAAUAAAGCCAUAUGAUUUUAGGGUAUCUGCCAUUAGUAGCAAUAACCGUUGUAUGUGUGUUAGUGAUGCUGUGCGGUAUAGAAGGCCUUGGAGAGAACUGGUUGAAGAAUGACCAAACGGACCUCAACCUAGUUAAUUCUAGUACUGGCUAAACUGUAGUCCUGCACACCUUGAAGUUAGGGGGAUCAGGAUAUCUCUAUACUUGGCUGGUGAGAGUCCAGCAGCAAUAUCUGUGACUGUCAAGGAUCUGAAUGCUUGGCCGGUUCUUGGCAACCAUCACUCCAACUCCCAGAGGAAGCCGGGAAAAGCCAAUCUCAGAUUUGCAGCAUCCAAGCACUUCUGAAAAUGGACAAAUGGGGGAAAAUGGCCAACUGGAUACAACCCAAAGCAAGCAAUCCCAAGAAUCUCAGUCCUGCAUGCAGCACACUUCGUACAGACUCUAAACACCUCCACAGGCCAGAUGUUCCCAGUUUCGCAAGGUCCGUCCUCUGUUACAUUGUGUUCGGGGGUUGCCACCAUGUGGACUUGUGUGCAGACAACUGGAUGCUGCCAGGACCUUGAACCAAUCACCAGAAACUGGUCCUAAGGAGGCCGCUUCUUCAAAUAUGCAUGUUCGCAAACGUACCAUAUAUGAUAACCAAGUCUGUAAUGAAAUCUGCCCACUGUUUAAUUAUGCAUAACAGACACUGAGCAAUAGGAAUUAAAAUAUAUGGCAGAUGUACCAUCCUGUUUGUUGUUGUUCGGCCAGCAAAGCUGAUUGUGCUUCGGAAGCUGUGGUGAGGCAUUGAGAUGGUGAAGCUGAAGCAAGAUAGCAGCACCUGCCUUGACUCAGGCACUGGCUCUGUGUGUUCCCAUCAUUUUACCAGCACCUCCCUCCAGUCAGCCUGUGCAAUGAUCAUUGUUUUGCCUAACCAAAUUGGGUGAACACCAAUAUCUUCCUUCUCCCUGACUUGCAGCCGUUGACAGACUUGCAACAGAGGUGUGUGGAGGUGUGCUUCUGUUGCUCUCUCUCCUGCUGACGUGGCUUUUGAUUCUUCCAUUUAGUGUCAGUUCACUGCUCACUGGUUGGCGUUAUAAUGAUGGCCACUGCACUUCUUAACCUGUGGAGCCAUCUCCAACAAAAUCGUUCAAUAUUUGGGCACAUUUUCAGUCUUCCCUUUCCAACAAUAGAGACACUGACUGUUCUGCUCCUGAUCAGUAUAAGCUCAUUUUGCAAAUGUUCUUUGUUGCCUCUGCUGCUUUUUUUCAUAUUCAGUGUAGCCUUCUACACGGUACUCGCUUUCCAAAUAAACUCUUAGUGCUUUUGGUCACUUUCAAAACUAUGUACUCAAAUUUUGAGCUCUGUCCCAUUUUUACCCCCUUAUUUUUGAUAUGUAAAUUUUCCUUGCUAACAUUAAAUAACAAAUUCUCAGUGCCCUUAGCGGUAUCUGCAAAAGUAGACAUUUUUCUCAGUUCUGGAGUAUAAAUGUCUGGCUCAGUAGCCCAAAUACUGAUCCUUUAGUCAUCUAAUCUGAGUAGCCACUGUCUACCAUGUCUGGGAUGCAGCUAACCAUUAAUUUUGUCACUUGUCUCUUUAUCCAUUUAUUCAGACUAUCAAAGAUAAUUUAGAAAUAUAAAUAAAUCACACAUUGCCGUGUCCACUCUGUUAUAUCUCUACGGAAUAUAGAAACGUAGGCCAAGGAAGAUUUCAGCUUUUAAUUCUUGCUGAGUGUUCACGUUAAAAACAGAAAAUGCUGGAAAUACUCAGGCUACAUCUCUUGAAGAGAAACAGAGUUAAUAGUCUGAAGAAGGGUUUCGGCCCGAAACGUUGCCUAUUUCCUUCGCUCCAUAGAUGCGCUACCGCACCCGCUGAGUUUCUCCAGCACUUUUGUCUACAGUUAAUAUUUCUCUCACCUGCUGAGUUUUUCCGGCAUUUUUUGUUUUUAUUUUAGAUUUCCAGUAUCUGCAGUUUUAUCUUUUUUUACUGACUUCAUUUUUUUUCCCCUUUAGUGUGAAUUAAUAUUUCAGCAUUUUUAUUCCUUGCCCUGACACGGAGCCAAUAGUUUCCUGGAUGUUUUCUGUCUUAACUGCAGGUAUAGAGUUACCCCGGAUAUAGUUUUAAGGAAAUGCAUUUAGAAGUGCCUCUAUCAUUUUCCAGAUAUUAAAACACGCAUAUGUAAUUAGUCCAAAUCAAGCUUUAUAAGAAAAAUGUGCAAUUUUAUGAUUUUUAAACAUCCUCGAGUUAUUAGCUGGUGUAAUUUCAAACACAUGGGUGAGGUUAGCUGACUGAAUUACAAUGUAAGUUGAUCUGUUCUAAAUUUAGGAUAGGAAGUUUCACUAUUGAGUAACCUGGUACUUGCUGAGAACAAAACGUUACCACAGGGCCGAGAGUAAACUGUGACUGGAUGUCAGCUGGCUCUUGGUACAAACCACAUGCACAGUGCCUGAUUCAAGAUGGUAGAUCAUGUGCAUUGCUAAUUGCUACAUUGCAGCACACUGCCUCAGUCCUCAGAUGCUCAGUUCAAUAAAAGCUGUGCUUUGCUGGGUCUAUAAAACAUCCCGCUGUCUAAAUGUGUUGUUUGAUUUUUGUUUACUGGAAUACCAGUGCUAUACGUUUUCUAGAUGCAUGAGGCAGCUUGCGUUAAACUAUGCAUUUCAGAGAGAAGGGAUGAGAAUUGCAUGAAUCGCUCACUACUGUAGAAUGAUCCCUUGAGCAGUUUAAUUGCUCUGAUUUCACCUCUGUACAGAACUAACAGCAAUAAAAGACCCGUGUGCCAAGGGUGCACCAGUGUUUA